rnacentral:rRNA from 1 species
GACGAACGCUGGCGGCGUGCUUAACACAUGCAAGUCGAACGGAAAGGCCCUGCUUGCGGGUGACUCGACUGGCGAACUGGUGAGUAACCCGUGGGUUAUCUGCCCUGUACUUCGGGAUGAGCCUGGGGAACUGGGUCUAAUACGGUAGCUGAUCCAGUAUAAGAUUAAUUAUUGGAAAGUUUUUUCGGUAUAGGAUGAGUUCGCGGGCUAUCAGCUGGUUGGUGGGGUAAUCGCCUACCAGGGCGGCGACGGGUAGCCGGCCUCAGAGGGUGGACGGCGACAAUAGGACUGAGAGACGGAGCAGAAGCCUACGGGAGGCAGCAGUGGGGAAUAUUGCACAAUGGGCGCAAGCGUGAUGCAGCGACGCCGCGAGGGUGAUGACGGCCUGCGGGUUGUAAACGCCUUUCGCUAGGGACGAAGCUUUUUGUGACGGUACCUAGCUAGGAAGCAACGGCUAACUACGUG